GAAGGCAGCUCACUGGACUGCAACUGACACUGAUGCUCGAAAGUGUGGGUAUCAAACAGGAUUAGAUACCCUGGUAGUCCACACAGUAAACGAUGAAUACUCGCUGUUUGCGAUAUACAGUAAGCGGCCAAGCGAAAGCAUUAAGUAUUCCACCUGGGGAGUACGCCGGCAACGGUGAAACUCAAAGGAAUUGACGGGGGCCCGCACAAGCGGAGGAACAUGUGGUUUAAUUCGAUGAUACGCGAGGAACCUUACCCGGGCUUAAAUUGCAGUGGAAUGAUGUGGAAACAUGUCAGUGAGCAAUCACCGCUGUGAAGGUGCUGCAUGGUUGUCGUCAGCUCGUGCCGUGAGGUGUCGGCUUAAGUGCCAUAACGAGCGCAACCCUUAUCUUUAGUUACUAACAGGUUAUGCUGAGGACUCUAGAGAGACUGCCGUCGUAAGAUGUGAGGAAGGUGGGGAUGACGUCAAAUCAGCACGGCCCUUACGUCCGGGGCUACACACGUGUUACAAUGGGGGGUACAGAAGGCAGCUAGCGGGUGACCGUAUGCUAAUCCCAAAAGCCUCUCUCAGUUCGGAUCGAAGUCUGCAACCCGACUUCGUGAAGCUGGAUUCGCUAGUAAUCGCGCAUCAGCCACGGCGCGGUGAAUACGUUCCCGGGCCUUGUACACACCGCCCGUCAAGCCAUGGGAGCCGGGGGUACCUGAAGUACGUAACCGCAAGGAUCGUCCUAGGGUAAAACUGGUGACUGGGGCUAAGUCGUAACAAGGUAGCCGUACCGGAAGGUGCGGCUGGAACACC
rnacentral:rRNA from 1 species